rnacentral:lncRNA from 13 species
GGCGAUGGAGACCAGCUCUGACAGGGGGGGAUUGGCUGCUCAGCUGGUCUGAUAGAGAGAGGAAGCCGACGCGGACGAGCGGGGACAUGAUAUGUGUCCACCUUGCGACCCCGGUACCAUGACAACGUGAUUGUGGAAAGAGAUUGUGUAGAGGGAAAGAGAGGAGGGCUAGCCUGUUAGGAGAGGCAGACAGACAAGCUGCUGUUACAUCAUGGGGCAUGAGUUAGUCAUGACUGACUGGCUGGCUUGAUGGACUUCUAUCCACUAUUUAUUUGUAUUUUCCCUCUCUCCCUCUCCCUCUCCCUCUCUCUCUCGUUCUGCUGUGUUUUAAUUGGAAUUAACUUAUUCCCCUGCUGUGUUUUAAUUGGACAUUUAACAGUGUUGACUUUAUCGGGUUAUUAAAAAAAUAAAUAAUUUGUGUAUUAAAGUGUAAAGGUCUGUUCCUUGUCACCGCCUCCACCGAUGAUUCUGUGUAGCCUACCUUAUCCAAGACUUUGAGGCUGAAGCUGACCUGGAAAUAGAAGCGUUCAUUCGAGUUCUGCUGCUACUGCCCAGAGGGCAGAUUGCCGAAACACCCUGCUAUCAGUCUUGUCGGGUUUAGUUUCCUCACAGGGUCUUGAUCUUUGAGGAGUCUCUUUGUUUUGUUCCUUCCUCUCUUCUGACGAAGUCAUGAAGCUCUCAGGUGUCAUUCAAGGCACACUGUAAUUUAGAAUUAGCAUGGUUAUACUGUAAUUUAGAAUUAGCAUGGUUAUACUGUAAUUUAGAACUAGCAUGGUUGUACUGUAAUUUAGAAUUAGCAUGGUU